GAUGAACGCUGGCGGCGUGCCUAAUACAUGCAAGUCGAGCGAACAGACGAUGAUCUUGCUCCUCUGACGUUAGCGGCGGACGGGUGAGUAACACGUGUAUCCCCUCCCUAUCAGACUGGGAUAACUUCGGGAAACCGGAUCUAAUACCGUAGAAUAUCUUGAACCGCAUUGUGCAAUAGUAAGAUACGGUUUUUCGGUCUCUUCUAGCUGGAUCCGGGCCGCAUUAGCUAGUUGUUAAGGUAACGGGUUACCAAGGCAACGAGGCGUAGCCGACCUGAGAGGGUGAUAGGCGACCCUGGAGCUGAGACACGGUCCAGACUACUAAGAGAGGCAGCAGUAGGGAAUGGUAGGCAAUGGGCGAAAGCCUGACGCAGCAACGCCGCGCGUGUGACGAAGGUCUUGGGAGCGGAAUAAUGUGUUACGAGGGAAGAACAAAUGUGUAAGUAAACAUGGAGGUAUUGACGGUAACUAAUCAGAAAGCACCGGCUAACUACGUG
rnacentral:rRNA from 1 species